CCUACGGGUGGCAGCAGUGGGGAAUAUUGGGCAAUGGACGCAAGUCUGACCCAGCAACGCCGCGUGAAGGAAGAAGGCUUUCGGGUUGUAAACUUCUUUUAAGGGGGAAGAGCAGAAGACGGUACCCCUUGAAUAAGCUACGGCUAACUACGUGCCAGCAGCCGCGGUAAUACGUAGGUGGCAAGCGUUGUCCGGAUUUACUGGGUGUAAAGGGCGUGCAGCCGGAGAGACAAGUCAGAUGUGAAAUCCACGGGCUCAACCCGUGAACUGCAUUUGAAACUACUUCCCUUGAGUACUGGAGAGGAAAGUGGAAUUCCUAGUGUAGCGGUGAAAUGCGUAGAUAUUAGGAGGAACACCAGUGGCGAAGGCGACUUUCUGGACAGUAACUGACGUUGAGGCACGAAAGUGUGGGGAGCAAACAGGAUUAGAUACCCGUGUAGUC
rnacentral:rRNA from 1 species